rnacentral:lncRNA from 1 species
AAAACAGAAGACUUCUGCAAAUGCGGAUGAGACCGUGGAACUUGUGACAAACAACAACAAUCCAUUGGCAGUGGAAGACGAUCGUCCCUACGACCAGGAGGAAGCCCACGCUGGAACAGCGGCUGCAGAGAAAACCGCCGCUGAACUCGACAGCGAGUCAAAGGACGUGGAGUACGCCAACAUCGACUUCUCUCUGCUAAAAAGAAAGACUCCUCUGGAUGAAGCGAGGACAGAUGAGAGCACGAAGACAGAGUACGCCGAAAUCAAAAAAGAGGUAAUAGAAGAAAGGGAGGAUGACGGCAGGGAGGAAAGUGAAAUGCUGGAGAGGGAAGAGGAAGUGGAGGCGAAGGAGGGAGAGGAGGAAGCAGCUGAGAUGGAGGCGGUGUACUCCAAUGUGAAGGAAGUCAUGAAUGAGAUCUGAAGACCGUUUCACUUUGCUGCAGCCUCAGGCUCCCAGAUUCCACCGGAUAAGAUAGAUUCAUAUCAUCAGCUGAUGGUGGGUUGGACUUUUGAUGAACCAUUUGUACAGUUUCUACAUCAGAACUGGGACCUUUUAACCACUGAACUGUGUUUAACGGAAUAAAAUCAGUCGAACGGGAGGAGAUUGAUAUUCUAACCAGUCAACUAAGUGUGAACGGGUUGGUUCAUGGAGUUUAGGCUGCUCUGCUUCACUGUAUGACGCUUCUUUUCAGAACAUGUCAGCAUUUCCAGUAAUAUUCCAGCAAAUUCAACUCAAAGAUUAGUUUGUAAAGAUACAUUAAUAGUUUGUAAAGACCAGUUAUUUUUAUAUUAUGCUUGAAUUGUUUGGUAUUUUUUUAGUCUUGCCUUAAAGAUGUUUUUGGAGUUAGCUUGAAAUGAAAAAGCUGUAGCGAUGGGUUUAUUAUGGGAUUAUGUGGGAGGUCACUUUAUGACGGGGGAUUAUAAUAAUCUCAGUUUCACAAUCGAUUUUCAGCUUUUGGUUUCAGCUUUGGCUUCAUCAUCUGAGACGGAAAAGUUAAAACUUAAUAAAAAGGAAUUUUAAACUUAUUUUCUAUCCAAACUUGGAUUUUUCUAGCACUCUUCUCUCUGUGUUGUUGUUGACAAACCUUCCUGUGCUGUGACAAUCUGUAAACACAGACUUCAAAGAUUAAUGUGAAUAAUGACACUUUUCUUGUCAUAAAACACCUUUUCUGAAUAGCCCAAAGGAGGCCUUGCUUUUGAUUAUUUCUGACUAAAACAAAACCUUUUUGCCAUUUUUCAGAGUGUCAGGUACUUCGUUUGCAAAAUACAGACAAUAAAUGAAUUCUGAUUCAUUUUUAAUCCUUUUAUUGUCGAUAUUUUUAUCUUGUGAAGUAUUUAAAAUAGCUCAGGGCUCAUAUAAGAAAAC